AUUCCAGCUCCAAUAGCGUAUAUUAAAGUUGUUGUGGUUAAAAAGCUCGUAGUUGGAUUUCGGCGGGUAUAGGUUGGUUUGAAUUGCUUCAAUACUGACUUUUUUACCCGUGUGUUUUGCCAGAAUUUAACGGGUGAUCUUCGCCGAUUGUCUGUUAGAACUGACAGGUUUACUUUGAAAAAAUUAGAGUGCUCAAAGCAAGCUUGAUUGCUUGAAUAUUCGUGCAUGGAAUAAUAGAAUAGGAAGUCGUUUCUAUUUUGUUGGUUUUCGGAAAUCGACUUAAUGAUUAAUAGGGACAGUCGGGGGCAUUUGUAUUCAAACGACAGAGGUGAAAUUCUUGGACCGUUUGAAGACAAACUACUGCGAAAGCAUUUGCCAAGAAUGUUUUCAUCA
rnacentral:rRNA from 1 species